rnacentral:rRNA from 1 species
GAUGAACGCUAGCUACAGGCUUAACACAUGCAAGUCGAGGGGAAACGGCAUCGAAAGCUUGCUUUUGAUGGGCGUCGACCGGCGCACGGGUGAGUAACGCGUAUCCAACCUGCCCAUCACUUGGGAAUAGCCUUGCGAAAGUAAGACUAAUGCCCAAUGACAUCCCACGAAGGCAUCCGAAUGGGAUUAAAGAUUUAUCGGUGAUGGAUGGGGAUGCGUCUGAUUAGCUUGUUGGCGGGGUGACGGCCCACCAAGGCAACGAUCAGUAGGGGUUCUGAGAGGAAGGUCCCCCACAUUGGAAGUGAGACACGGUCCAAACUCCUACGGGAGGCAGCAGGGAGGAAUAUUGGUCAAGGGGCGAGAGCCUGAACCAGCCAAGUAGUGUGCAGGAUGACGGCCCUAUGGGUUGUAAACUGCUUUUAUAAGGGAAUAAAGUGGGUCACGUGUGACUUUUCACAUGUACCUUAUGAAUAAGGACCGGCUAAUUCCGUG